rnacentral:lncRNA from 1 species
GCCCAUCAUUUAAAUCUCACACAAAUAUAUGUUUUCAUGUGUCUGUCAGUUUCUAUUUUUAUACAACACUCUUCUAAUUAAAUCACAUAUACUAUAUAUAAAAGUUAUCUCCAGAAUGUGUCUCUUUACUGCAUUUCUUCUGAAAAACAACUUUUCAGCAUGUAUACGUCAUAUUUAUGUUUGUUGCAAGUAUGCGUUCUCUGCAAGUCUGAAUUCAUGAAAUUUGGUACCAAAUUAGAUUUUCUUUGAUUUGAC